rfam:Dipodomys ordii contig_51995, whole genome shotgun sequence.
GGUGGCUCAAUGGUAGAGCACUUGCCUUGCAUGCCUGAGGCCCUGGGUUCAAUUCCUCAGCACCA